rnacentral:lncRNA from 1 species
AGCCAUUUUAAUCAUUUAUUCAUUUGAAAAAUUUUACCAAAACCAUGAGGUUUUACAAAUCUAUUUAUCACUUCUGGUUUUCCUUGAUAAUAACUGGGUUUGAACUUCUGGGAACUGGAAACAAUUGCCUGACUCUAGAAUCCAUUUCUUUAGAAGUAGGUUUUUUAAGAGCUCCUCAAUUCUCUUCAUGGGUCAGAUUCACUACCUCAUUUAUAAUGCUUUCUCUCAUGAGAACAUCAUUAACAGAAUGUUUAUGAGAUAUGAAAGAAUGAUACAUUUCAAACCUGAGGGUAAGAGAAAGAUAUUGUAGACAGUUUGAUGGAAAGAAGCCUCACUGAUUCAUUUUUUUGAUGAAUCCUUUAAUUUUAAGGAUUUUCCCAAGAUUUACUCCUUUUACUUUUUUACAUCUUUAUUUGGAAAUGAAUACAGAGAAGUAUUCAGAGAAAAAAUCAUAAUUUUUCAUUGCCUCUUUUAUGACAUAAAUGACAAACUGGUGGGGGAAGAACCAUUAAAGGAGUUUGAUACAAUGAAAUUUAUAAGUGUGAAUUAUUUACCUCUCUUGAUCCCAAACAUGAAAAAUCUAACAUAUUGAAAUAGUUGAAGAGUAUCAAAAUACAAUUACUAAUAGCUUCAAAAAUUUUUGCUUUUUACAAAGUACUUUUACAUUCAACAUUUAAUUUGACCACCUUAUAUUAAAUUUAAUAACCUGGCAUUGUAUAUUCUCAUUUCUAGAUAAUAGGUGAAGAAAAUAAAGCCCAAAGAAUCUGAGACUUAUUCAAGUCACAUGGAUGAUAACUUAUAAGUCUUAUAGCCGGGACAUAAAAUUUUUGACACCAAGUCCAGGGGAUUUCUUAUUAUUAGUUCCUCUCAUUAUUUUAUACUGUGAAUCUAUGGAGAAAACUCACAAAUAAUUCUUGGAGUAUGUAUAAUAACACCUGGUAUUCCUGAAACAAUAAACAUGUAAGUCAUGGCUUAAACAAUACCAAUAAAAAUCUUGACAAGCCCUUUUCAUAUUAACCUAUAAGAACAUAGACCAAAAUAUCUGACAUUUUCAAUAAGUCAUUGAGGACUUUCACCCUCUUGUCUACAAUUAAUCAAAUGGGUGGUUUCCAAAUGAAAAUUGAUCCGAAAAUGUUUCAUGCGAUGCUUGCAAAAAAACUAAAAUUACUUUCGAAGGUUCCAAAAAUAACUUAUUCCUAAAGUACUUGAGUUUUAAUUCAAUACUUGUCUACUCAUCAAUAAAUCUUGUUAUACAGCCUGAAAAUAUCUUAGUACUUCAUAUAUGUCCCCAAUGGGACAUUAAUGAGACUUAAUGUGCUUUCAAAAGGACCUAUUUCAUGGCAAAUUUGUCUACCUUAUGCCUGCAGUUACCAAGUCUUCAAUGACAACCUAUUGCCUACAAAAUCAAGUCUUAUCAAAUUAUUUCCUACAACUUUGAAAACUUUAUGAUAUCAAGAUUAUCAUAUCAAUUGUUUGAGUCCUCCAUGAAUUUUGCUAUAGUUUCUUAUACAUAAUAAGAGUUGUAAAUAAAAUGUUUGGAUCAUUUCCAGUUUAAGAGUGAUAUCUUUGAAGUGGGAUUCUUCUUUUUGUUUUUUUUCUUUUGUCUUUUUAGGGCCACAUCUGCGGCAUAUAGAGGUUCCCAGGCUAGGGUCUAAUCAGAGCUAUAGCCGCCGGCCUAUGCCACAGCCACAGCCUUGCAGGAUCCAAGCUGUGUUUGCAACCUACAUCACAGCUCACGGCAAUGUGGGAUCCUCAACCCACUGAGCGAGGCCAGGGAUUGAACCUGCAAACUCGUGGUUCCUAGUUGAUUUGUUUCUGCUGCACCAUGAUAGGAACUCCUUAUGUGAUUUUUGAAGUCAUGAUUGAUUUUUACGUAGCCAGUUAUCCUCUCUCCCUCCACUUUUUUUCACCAAUAGUGUAUAGGAAGAUGGCAAGUAAGAUUUAAAGCUGUAGUCUGUGGUUAUUGGAUAAAAGAAGUGAGUUAUGUGAUCUCAAUCUAUGACAUGUGGCAAUGUUGUUAAAAAUCCAGCAAUGGAGUUAGACAUUGUGAAGAAUAAAAUACACUAUUAUGCAAUAUCCAUAACCCAAGAAAUUUAGAUUUUUAAUUCAGAAAAAAAUGUGAUGUUUCUUUCCAAUUAUAAAACUAUUUUGUUUUAUUUUUUUUUUAAUUUCAAAAUAAAAAUGCAUUGGAUCAUAGUCUGUAGGCUUCUUCAAGGCAAUUUUAUAUUUCUUAGCAUGAAUAAAGGGAGGAUUUGUAAAAAAUAGUUUUAAAAAUUCUACUGCCUUCUUUUGGUUGUCAGCAUUUCCCUGAUACUGAUAAUCAUGUCACAUAAAACACCAGGAUGUAAGAAAUUUGACUUCAUAAAGACAAAAAUCUUCCCCAAUCCCAGACUUCUCUCUUAGUUCUAAAAGCAGUGUGCUUGUCACACAUACCUUGGCUGCAUUUGGUAAAGGAAGUGGCAAGGGAUCCUGACAAAUCCAUCCCUCCUGCUGUAAGAGCUCAUCUCCUCCUGAGCCUGAAGGUAGUUUUUAAAAUUAACCCCCCGUUGUUAGUGUGCCUCUACUUGGUGGUGGAUGUAACAAAUCAGUGGCAGUUGAAUUAGAAUUCUUUGCCCUUGACACUUCAAAGUACUGCUCAGCCCAGUGCGUUAAUGGAUAUUGCAAUGGCAUAUUACAGCAUCCUGAUUUCCGAAUACUUUUACACUUAAGAACAGAGUGACAGGACACUUUAAGUCAUCAACCAGUAAAGAUUUCUCCACUCAUGCCUUGAAAAUGGGAAUAAAUGUGCAAAUCUAUACAAUUUUGCUUCCCUUCCCAUCUAUCUUGUCAGAAUGAAAAUCGGCAUGGGAAUCAAGUCAAAUGUACUUCAGCAGAUUAGAAAGGAAUAAUGUAUAUUUUUCCUCUUGAGUCACACAGAGCAACUAUCACUUCCUGCUGUGCCAAUUUGUCUUGGGCUAGUGAUUCUGAAGGUGAAACUUUGAAGGUCCUAUGAGUGAAUGAGAAGCCAGUACUAUAACAGGGUAAAAUAAACACAGAAAGAGCAAUGUGCGGAUAAAAUAAGGUAUGCAAAAUAAAAUGUAGACUGAAUUUCUUUCUUUCUUUUUUUAACCUUCAAGAGAAUACAGUGUUCUCUUGAAUACUAUGAGAAUUAAUUAAAAGAGAGGCUGUAAAAUUAUACAUAAUUUUUUUCUAAUUAAAAAAAUCAGGAAAGCCAUAUAAUUAUUCUGGAGUCUUUACUAGAAUGAAUGCUGUUAUUUGGUCUCAAGUCAUCCUAUAUCUCCUUUGUGUAUGGUGGUAUGUGGUGGGGGCUAGGGGGUGUAUGAGAAGGAGAGAAAGAGGUAACUGAUGAAUAAAACUUGAACUAUUUGAAGAAAGAAUUUUGGUCAGUGUCAAAAGCCAAAUGUGAUUCACAGUAAAAACUACUCAUUCGUCACCCUGCCUACAUGUUUGCUUUCUCCACUAACACUGUUAUAUUCCCUUUAGUCCACCCUACCACCAUGAUAAUUUACUCACUCUUGUAUAGCUCCUUAUUCUUUUUCAAGGAAAUAACAUGCUUCUCUCAGUUCUAAGCCCAGACGUAGGCUUUUUUUUUUUUUAGAAAGCAUUGGUAUAUUCAGAGUGUAGGAAAGAUAAUUCUUAAUUAUGUUUGCUUUUAUGAGAUCACUUUUUAAAAUUCAUCAGGGUGACCUACAUUGAAGACCGAAAAUGUUAUACUUUGCCCGCACGCUUUGGGACUCACCAGCAAGUCAGGUUGUCCAGGGAAAUCUCAUUACUGUAGGAUUCACUGCCCAAGCAACUAUUAGCAGAGAGAAAGCAAGGAGAAAAGUAACCCAGGUGACUGUCUGCAAAUUGACACAGAUUAACAGUUCUUUGUCCAGAAUCCUGAUGGAAUACUGGAGAGCUGCAGAAAGUCAUUUUCAGAUUAAACAUUGAGAAUAGAGCUAAAAGAUGAUACAUAGGCAUGCAUGAAUUAUGAGAGCCACAUAACUAGAACACUGCUAAGUAAAAUUAAUUUGAUCCAAGACUACAGCACUAGGAAUGGUUUUAAACAAGCUCUAGCAUGUUUCUGCUGAUGAAAAUUUAUUUGAUUGAGAACUUAUUAAACCAUUUGAUUAAAUGGGCAAAGCUCUAUGAGAUUGUGGAAUCUUAUACAUAACCACAGGUUUAUCUUUUUCUCAUUGUAUUCAACUGGGGACACUAAUUGAAUUCAUCCACAAAACACUGGAUUUUAUUCUAGAUAGAGUUGGUUUCUUUCCAAGAAUCAAUUCCCAUUUUAAAAGUAGGCCUAAAAUAUCUGGGUUUCAGCCAUAUGUUUCUGAGAGGAAGGUGAUUAAAAUGGUUUCUAAUCCCACGGUGAAUAUUUUUCUCACAAUUCUUACAUUCCACCUCGAAGGGGCAAGACAAAUCACACUUCUGAAUUACAGGUUUCUGAGAAGGUUAUUUGAAAACAUGUAAUCUAAAACAAAUCCCAAUGUGUAUAAAAAGAAUUUGAAAAAAAACAUAAGCUUAAUAUGGACUUAUAUACAACAUUAAGGUAAUAAAAUGAUAUUUAUCUAUGGAAAGAUAAGGGUGUAUACUCUGGAAUUUUGACUGUUUCAGUUAAAUUAAGAAUUUUUUAACUUGUGAUCACUAAGAAUUUGGAAUUCUUCUUGCAGUUAAACUUACUGCUGAAUCUUUACUUCCAAUGAUAUUUCAAAGUGUAAGUUUGUGAUACCAACUAAGAAUAUCUGCACUUUUGAAGAAGGAGCUGAAGUUAAAUGACAAGUUUCCCCAUGGGCACCCAACUCUGAAGAGUAAAAAACACACCUAUCAGAACCAAAACCACAUGCUCAAACAUAUGAAUGAUAUAAGACACUUUAAUAAACAAUGAUCUGCCAAAAGUUUGUGCAGUCAUUUUUAAUUUCCAUGGUUAUAUAAUACUUACAAGGAGCCCUGAUCUUUCUAUUGGUGAUUACUCAGCAUCUGCACAUUAAAAUACAGGCAUCUACUACACUUGUUUUUGCAUUUUAUAUCCAUUACAUUUGCUACUUAAAUUUCAAUCUUUAAGUACUAGUACAUAAAUCUAACCAUGCAAGACAGGUGACUUAGCAGGUGUGAUUGUUCUUUGUAUUGUCUUUCCGUAGAAAAGCACUAAAGGAAUUUCAUUCUAUGAUGCAUAUUCUUAUAUAAGAAAUUGGGAAAUCAAAUUGGCCUCAAGUGGAAGAAAUUUAAAUAUCAUAACCAACCUACAAAAAAAUACUAUUUCCAUAUUACAGAUGACAAAAUCAAAGAUAAGAGAAAUCAUCAUACUCAAUGAAAUCUAACCAAUAAGGAAAGCAAAGCAGGAAGGCUACAAUGUAAUCACAGGGCUAUAGACUCUGAAAACAGCUAAAAAUGAUGAGGUUGAAUUGAUUGACAUUUCUCAUUUAGGGCAAAGCAACUUCAUAUGCAACUGAUACAUGUUGAAAUUCCAAGUAAAAGAUUUGCUUGAACAAAAGAUAAAUAGUUUAGAAAAUGUACUGUACAACAUAUAGGGUGAUCGACCAACCAGAUUUGCCUAGAACUAAGAAGGUUUCCAGUACACAAGAGUUCCAGUGCUACAAUGGGGAAAAUCCCAGUAAAAUGAGGAUGAGUUAUUCACCCUACUAUUCUAAUUUCCUUUGCUAUAUUGAUUUGUUGAAGACUGAAGAUUUAGCAGGUGGGAAAUUGUAUACACUGAGGACCUUAAUUUAUGUGGACAUAAAUUUAUGAGAUUGGUUCACAGUUUCAUGUGAUUCAUCACUGCAAGAAUAUGCACAUCUCCCCAAGUCUGAUUUAGUUCUAAAAAGAUGUAACUAUGUAUUUACCCACCUGGAAUUCCCCGUGCUCACCAUUUUUAGAAGUAUGCACAAAUAUCUUUACAUAGAUAUUAAAAUUUUAUUGUUAUAAAUAAAUACCUGUAUGCAGAUAUUAAUCUCAUAUUGUUUUAUCUUUUUUAUUUCACUAGAGCAAGGGCUUUCACUUUUUUUUUUUUUUACCACAACCCACAGUAAGAAAUGAAUUUAAUAAUGCCCCUCAGAACACGGAUCAUAUAUAACUAUUACAAAUGUCUCAUAGAGCAUUUCAGUGUUCGUUAUAUGUUUAUCUAUGGCCUGAGGCUCUGGUUCUCAAGCUGUAGAGAAAAUGAACAUCACCUUGGGACAUAUUAAAAUUAGCAAUAUCAUGACACAUCACGGAGACCUUUAUUCUGGGCCUGAUUAUGAGCUAGGACCUAGAAACUGGAUUUUAACAAGUGAGGAGAACACUUGUUCUCUUGUCACCAUUUCAGGACUAUAGUCCUGAGCUGUCCCACAGAUUCUACCCAGUCAUUGACUUAUUUUUGUGUUAUUUAGUUAUUCAGCAAACUAGUACGUGCCUCAAACUGUGAGAGAUACUAGAGGUUCACAUUGCUGGAACAUAGUUUAAAGAAAUGCAAAAGUUGGAAUAGAAUAUUAUAACUCUUAUUUAAAAAGUUAUAUGAGUGGUCAGUGCAAGAUUUGAUUUGUUUUCUCUGACCAUCAGGUAACCAUUAAAGAAAUGGAU